rnacentral:rRNA from 1 species
AGAAGCACCGGCUAACUCCGUGCCAGCAGCCGCGGUAAUACGGAGGGUGCAAGCGUUAAUCGGAAUUACUGGGCGUAAAGCGCACGCAGGCGGUCUGUCAAGUCGGAUGUGAAAUCCCCGGGCUCAACCUGGGAACUGCAUUCGAAACUGGCAGGCUAGAGUCUUGUAGAGGGGGGUAGAAUUCCAGGUGUAGCGGUGAAAUGCGUAGAGAUCUGGAGGAAUACCGG